UACAAGUUUCUGGAAAAUAUCUGUAAAGAGAAAUUCUGAUUAUCAUCCUGGAAAACAUACUUCAUACUUGCCCAAAGUCAAUGGGAACAUAAAAGAUUAUCUGAACUAAAAAGACAUUCCAGUGGCCUUGUGAAAGAGAGGAGGAACUAUGCAGAGGAAAUGAUAACAUUCAACAGAAUAAUAAAUAUAUCCGCUGAAGCCUCUACUUUAUGGCAAAGUACUGUUUCCUCAUUCCUAGGAUCUUGAGUCUAGAAGAUGAGGAAGCUGAUGUACAGACAAGUCACCUGACCAAAGUCACGUCACUGACUCCAUGUGGCUAAUUCCUGAACGUUGGGCAGACACAUGCUGAUCUUCAGCAGAGAAGGAUCUCAGACAGUGACCGUC